UCCUGGUUAACCCAGGCAGUCUCGUUAGAGUUCCCAGCAUUACCUGAUGGCAACUAACGACAAGGGUUGCGCUCGUUGCGGGACUUAACCCAACACCUCACGGCACGAGCUGACGACAGCCAUGCAGCACCUGUUUAGCAGUCCCGAAGGAAGGUAUCAUUUCUGAUACUGUCUACUAUAUGUCAAGCCUAGGUAAGGUUCUUCGCGUUGCAUCGAAUUAAACCACAUGCUCCACUGCUUGUGCGGGUCCCCGUCAAUUCUUUUGAGUUUCACCCUUGCGAGUGUACUCCCCAGGCGGUAUACUUAUCGCGUUAGCUACGACGCAAUUGGGGUUGAGACCAAUUACAUCAAGUAUACAUAGUUUACGGUUAGGACUAC
rnacentral:misc_RNA from 1 species